UGGGAAUCUGCCCUCAGGUACGGAAUAACUCAGGGAAACUUGAGCUAAUACCGCAUAAUGUCUUCGGACCAAAGAUUUAUCGCCUGGGGAUGAGCCCGCGUAGGAUUAGCUUGUUGGUGAGGUAAAAGCUCACCAAGGCGACGAUCCUUAGCUGGUCUGAGAGGAUGAUCAGCCACACUGGGACUGAGACACGGCCAGACCUCCGUACGGGAGCAG
rnacentral:rRNA from 1 species